CCGAAAGGUGACGGACCCUUCGGGAGCGUUGCACAGGUGCUGCAUGGCUGUCGUCAGCUCGUGUCGUGAGAUGUUCGGUUAAGUCCGCUAACGAGCGCAACCCUCGCUGUGUGUUAGUAUGUGUCACACGGGACUGCCGGUCCUUAAGCCGGAGGAAGGUGGGGAUGAUGUCAAGUCAGCAUGGCCUUUAUAUCCUGGGCUACACACACGCUACAAUGGCCAACACAAUAGGUUGCUAAGCCGCGAGGUGGCGCCAAUCCAUAAAGUUGGUCUCAGUUCAGAUUGUAGGCUGCAACCCGCCUGCAUGAAGAUGGAGUUGCUAGUAACCGCAGGUCAGCUAUACUGCGGUGAAUACGUUCCCGGGGCUU
rnacentral:rRNA from 1 species